rnacentral:rRNA from 1 species
CCCCAGAGAGUGCUAAGUGUUAGAGGGUUUCCGCCCUUUAGUGCUGAAGUUAACGCAUUAAGCACUCCGCCUGGGGAGUACGGCCGCAAGGCUGAAACUCAAAGGAAUUGACGGGGGCCCGCACAAGCGGUGGAGCAUGUGGUUUAAUUCGAAGCAACGCGAAGAACCUUACCAGGUCUUGACAUCCUCUGACAACCCUAGAGAUAGGGCUUCUCCUUCGGGAGCAGAGUGACAGGUGGUGCAUGGUUGUCGUCAGCUCGUGUCGUGAGAUGUUGGGUUAAGUCCCGCAACGAGCGCAACCCUUGAUCUUAGUUGCCAUCAUUUAGUUGGGCACUCUAAGGUGACUGCCGGUGACAAACCGGAGGAAGGUGGGGAUGACGUCAAAUCAUCAUGCCCCUUAUGACCUGGGCUACACACGUGCUACAAUGGACGGUACAAAGAGCUGCAAGACCGCGAGGUGGAGCUAAUCUCAUAAAACCGUUCUCAGUUCGGAUUGUAGGCUGCAACUCGCCUACAUGAAGCUGUAAUCGCUAUUAAUCGCGGAUCAGCAUGCCGCGGUGAAUACUUUCCCGGGCCUUGUACACACCGCCCUUCACGCCGCGAGAGUUUGAAACAGCCGAAUUCUUUGGGGUAACCGUUU